CUCCAGAAUACCCUGGUAACAUACAUACUACCAUGGCUGUCUGGUGGGUAAUUCUACCCUCUGCCCCAAGUCCCAUGUCCCACUCCAGACCACAAGCAGGUUCCCCAGUCUUUCUACCCGAUUCACCAAUGGAAGGGAUGGUGGAACUGUGUUCUAACAAUGGUCAACAACUCAGAUUUUCCUAAACGUUGCAUAUACAUGCAUAACUAUUUGUUCAUACUGUUCCCUCUGCCUAGCAUGGAAUUCCCUCUUCUCUCUCAGCAGAGAAACUUAAUACUCCCAAUUCAAAACGCAGAUGGCACCACGCGAGGUCAGAGAAAGAGGCAAGAAGUUUUAGUCAACCUGUCUUUGAUUAUUGGCUUGCCAUAUGCAGUCUACGUGUACUUGAUCAUCGCUUAACUUUUUAGCCUGUUUCUCAUGUAUGAAACGAGAAUAAUGAUAUCCAGCUCAUGGGUUGUUUAAAGGAAUACAUGACAUGAUAAGGUGAAGAGGAACAGAUGCUGCCAUGAAAGGGGUUUCCUAGAAAGUGGUGAAGAGACCAUAGCCUAAUGCAAGUAGAGAAUUGGGACCAGGAAAAAUAAAGCCAUGAAAUAAUGAGUCUGCUGUAUUAGAGGUAAUUUUUUGCUGCUUCCAAGAUUUAACAUAUGGAGUAAAAUCCUAAAUGCUGAAUGAAAGAAUCCAAAAGUUGAACAUAACAUAAGGUACCCUAGGAUCCCUCAAAAAAUAAAAUAAAUACCAUUGGUUUAGAGAGAGGUAUUCUAUGGAUUGACGUUUCCUGGGAAUUUGGGGGUUUGAGGAAAAAAAUAUACUAUACUUGAUGUUUAGUAUUUGGUUGUAUUACACUAUAUGUUUAAAUACAUAAACAUUUUAACAUAAGUUCGUUGUCUGAGAACUUGCUGUAUUUUCACAUAUCAUCAAUACUUCUAGGAAAGAGUUUCCAGAACAUUAUGAAACUUUAAUCAGUGGGUAUCUAUAAAUUUUAUUGGAUUAUGGUGCCAUAUAAACAGGUAAGAAGCCAUUUUUUCCCCUAAAACAUUCUCCACACAAAAUGGUCUUAUAAAUAACUGUGAACUUUGUAUUUUCUCCUUGGCCCUACAACUCCACCACCACCAGAGCAGAUAAACAGUUCUUAGGAUUCCAUGCCUCAAAAAUGUACUUUCAGGCUAAUCCGUUGUUGGCCAAGAAAAAGCUAUAUGGCCAUAAUUACAGGCAAUUUGCAGCAAGAGAGACUUGAAUUUAAAGUACCUCAUCACUUCGCCCACCACACUGGGCCCUGAAAAAACUUAAGAACAGGUCACUGAGCCCUUUUCAAGUCAGGAAAUUAUCUAGUGGACUAGUACCUCAUCGUCCUCUUUCAAAUAUCUCCAACCUAUUUUUCAUUGCUUAUAUUUAGGCUCUUUCUUUAUAGAUCUCAUGUUGCAUCCUGACUGUUUUCCUGAUAGAGCUAGGAGAGAGAGACAGCAGGUUCCAUUUAUGCUUUCUGGACUCCGGGGAUCCUAGAAGCCAGCUAAAGCACAUAGUUGUAAGAAGAGCUACUUGCUGUAGAACAGAAGAGCCAAUCUUUCCUUGUGUAUUCUGCCAGAACAAAUUCUAGCUUUCCACUGGCUGGCCCCAUUCCACCUCACUCCCUUGCCAGGUAAAUCUUUUGAGUCACCAAGCACAGCCAGGCUCACCCUGUUAGAUAUGUUUACCCCCAGAUUAAAACCUAAUGCUUCUCACCUCACCCACUCCACCUGGCUUCUCAUUCUGAAAGUUGUACUUUAUUUAUUAAGGGCCUAAUUGUUCUUUUUUUGUGCCUUACCUCCACUUCCUAAUUUGAAUUAUUCAGUUUCUUUUGUUUUUUCUUAUCAAACAUUUGAUACACAGAAUGUAAUUAUUCAUAAUUCUUGUUUACUACCACAGUCUCAUCAUUUGUACACACAGGGCUUCCUUCCUUCUCUCCUUCCAACCUUCUUUAUUUUUUAUUUUUUUACAAAUCGGGUCUUGCUGUCACCCAGGCUGGAGUGCAUAAUUGUAGCUCACUGCAGCCUUGAAAUUCUUGGUUCCAACAAU
rnacentral:lncRNA from 1 species